CGUAGGUGGCAAGCGUUGUCCGGAUUUAUUGGGCGUAAAGCGAGCGCAGGCGGUUUCUUAAGUCUGAUGUGAAAGCCCCGGCUCAACCGGGGAGGGUCAUUGGAAACUGGGAGACUUGAGUGCAGAAGAGGAGAGUGGAAUUCCAUGUGUAGCGGUGAAAUGCGUAGAUAUAUGGAGGAACACCAGUGGCGAAGGCGGCUCUCUGGUCUGUAACUGACGCUGAGGCUCGAAAGCGUGGGAGCAAACAGGAUU
rnacentral:rRNA from 1 species